rnacentral:rRNA from 1 species
AACGAACGCUGGCGGCAUGCCUAACACAUGCAAGUCGAACGAGACCUUCGGGUCUAGUGGCGCACGGGUGCGUAACGCGUGGGAAUCUGCCCUUCGGUUCGGAAUAACAGUUAGAGAUGACUGCUAAUACCGGAUGAUGACGUAAGUCCAAAGAUUUAUCGCCGAAGGAUGAGCCCGCGUAAGAUUAGCUAGUUGGUGAGGUAAAGGCUCACCAAGGCUACGACUUUAGUCUGGUCUGAGAGGAUGAUCAGCCACACUGGGACUGAGACACGGCCCAGACUCCUACGGGAGGCAGCAGGUGGGGAAUAUUGGACAAUGGGCGAAAGCCUGAUCCAGCAAUGCCGCGUGAGUGAUGAAGGCCUUAGGGUUGUAAAGCUCUUUACCCGGGAUGAUAAUGACAGUACCGGGAGAAU